UGUUGGUCACAUUGUAUAACGGAAAUCGACAUAAAAGUAUCAGAUAUGAAAUUAAGUCUGAGAGAGCUCAAAGUUUUGUGUAUAUUUUGCAUAUUACAGACGAAUUCGAAAUCUGCAGAGAGAAAUAUAGUGAAAUAAUUUUUUUUCAGUUGUAUCUAUACACACUUCUACCGAAUCGUACUUUGUUUUCGCGAAUGAAUUAAAGAACUGUGUUAGAAUGGACGAAGCAAUAAGCAAAGGUUCGAUUCCGCUGUGGCAGAAGGAGUGUCCUGAAGUCUCCAAUUUAAGUUGUCAUAGGAAGUUGUGGUUAUAUUAAGAAGAAG